rnacentral:rRNA from 1 species
GGGGAAUAUUGGACAAUGGGCGCAAGCCUGAUCCAGCCAUGCCGCGUGGGUGGAGAAGGCCUUCGGGUUGUAAAGCCCUUUUGUUGGGAAAGAAAAGCAGCCGGCCAAUACCCGGUUGUUCUGACGGUACCCAAUGAAUAAGCACCGGCCAACUUCGUGCCAGCAGCCGCGGUAAUACGAAGGGUGCAAGCGUUACUCGGAAUUACUGGGCGUAAAGCGUGCGUAGGCUGUUUGGUAAGUCAGGGGUGAAACACGCGGCUCAACCGCGGAAUUGCCCUUGAUACUGCUGGACGUGAGUUCGGGAGAGGGUGGCGGAAUUCCAGGUGUAGGAGUGAAAUCCGUAGAUAUCUGGAGGAACAUCAGUGGCGAAGGCGGCCACCUGGACCGAUACUGACGCUGAGGUGCGAAAGCGUGGGGAGCAAACA